UGGAGGAAGAUACUUAAAGGAUAACUUAAACAAUUUUACAAAUUAAUUUGCGAUGUCGACUGUGUUCCUGCACAUGUGGAAAAAGUCAGAGUGCAUGACUUAUGUGUUUUCGGGCAAGCUAAUUUUCAAUGGAGUGUUAUGGGCACUCUUAGGCACCUAGCUGCUAAGAGAGGACAAGAUGGUGGCACAGAUAGCCACCGUCAGAGGGAGCUGGACUGAAGCGGCUCCAUUGCACAGGCCUCUAGUGCUCCAAAUGGCCAUUACAGCCGCACCCAAAGCGGCAGUGAGAGGAAGCUGGAUGGAUGGGGCUCCAUUGCAGAGGUCUGCGGUGCUGCAGCAGGUCCUGGUGAUGGUGUAUCCAGCAGUCAGGAGG